rnacentral:lncRNA from 1 species
AUGUGUAUAAGAGACAGGCCCGGGGCCGUCCCGGGGAAGGAGGCCGCCUGCCACAAGCAGCGCAGGAGCCCGGCACUUCUGACCUCCGUACCUCUUGGAGCCGGCUUUCCUGAUCGCAUCGGCUGGAGGAGGAGGGCGCUUCAGAUCGUCAGCCGCACAGGACAAGGCUGGAGGCGGUGCCCGGGGCCGUCCCGGGGAAGGAGGCCGCCUGCCACAAGCAGCGCAGGAGCCCGGCACUUCUGACCUCCGUACCUCUUGGAGCCGGCUUUCCUGAUCGCAUCGGCUGGAGGAGGAGGGCGCUUCGGAUCGUCAGGUGGGUACUAGGGACUGCCCUCGCCAUGGCAUCCCAGAUGGCUUGGAAGGAGUGAGCCGUGGUCGGGUCCCAUCGGGCUGGAGAGGCAGGCUGAUGAGGUGUGGCGGGGGUGGGUGGACACCAGAGACUUGGGCCUGACACCCCCGAGGAGGGUGUCAGCAGAACAUUCCCCUGCUCCGUGAGCUCACUGCCCCCCUUCGACAUGGGCCACCAACCAAGGAGCCCUGCCUGGAUUUCCAAGUCCACACACACACACACACACACACACACACACACACGGAGACUAAGCCACGCGGAGAAACCCAACAGUCGCAGGCAGCUCCUGAGGCUGUGCGGUUCUCCUCCCUUCCGGGAAGCCCCUCGGGGAUAGAGCAGCCCCGCAGCACACAGGCUGACCUUACCUGGAAUUUCCAGCAUGGACAGCCUUCAAGGAGACGCGCCCCAACAGAGUCUGGGCAGGCCUGAAACAUUUGGGCAUCCAUGGCGAUCCAUCGCCCUGGGCAUAUCUCUCUGGUCCCCUCGAACUCUUCUCAGCCUGGUUCCGCCAAGACGGACUCCGUAAAUCGCGG